CCUGGCGGCGAUAGCGCGGUGGUCCCACCUGACCCCAUGCCGAACUCAGCAGUGAAACGCCGUAGCGCCGAUGGUAGUGUGGGGCCUCCCCAUGCGAGAGUAGGGAACUGCCAGGC
rnacentral:rRNA from 2 species